rnacentral:rRNA from 1 species
UACGUAGGUGGCAAGCGUUGUCCGGAUUUACUGGGCGUAAAGAGCGCGCAGGCGGUCGUUCAAGUCGCGUGUGAAAGCCCCCGGCUCAACUGGGGAGGGUCACGCGAUACUGAUCGACUCGAAGGCAGGAGAGGGUAGUGGAAUUCCCGGUGUAGUGGUGAAAUGCGUAGAGAUGUGGAGGAACACCAGUGGCGAAGGCGACUCUUUGGCCUGUAACUGACGCUGAGGCGCGAAAGCGUGGGGAGCAAACAGG